GACAGAGGAGCCAAGCGUUGUCCGGAUUGACUGGGCGUAAAGGGCGCGUAGGCGGAUAUUUAAGUCGGGGGUGAAAGCCCAGGGCUCAACCCUGGAACAGCCUUCGAUACUGGAUAUCUUGAGUACGGGAGAGGUGAGUGGAACUCCGAGUGUAGAGGUGAAAUUCGUAGAUAUUCGCAAGAACACCAGUGGCGAAGGCGGCUGACUGGUCCGGUUCUGACGCUGAGGCGCGAAAGCGUGGGGAGCAAACAGG
rnacentral:rRNA from 1 species